rnacentral:rRNA from 1 species
UACGUAGGGUGCAAGCGUUGUCCGGAAUGAUUGGGCGUAAAGAGCUCGUAGGCGGUCUGUCGCGUCUGCUGUGAAAACUCGGGGCUUAACCCCGGGCCUGCAGUGGGUACGGGCAGACUAGAGUGCGGUAGGGGAGACUGGAAUUCCUGGUGUAGCGGUGAAAUGCGCAGAUAUCAGGAGGAACACCGAUGGCGAAGGCAGGUCUCUGGGCUGUAACUGACGCUGAGGAGCGAAAGCAUGGGGAGCGAACAGG